rnacentral:rRNA from 1 species
UCGCCUGUUUAUCAAAAACAUCGCCUCUUGCCAAUAACCAUGUAUAAGAGGUCCAGCCUGCCCAGUGACUAUAUGUUCAACGGCCGCGGUAUUCUGACCGUGCAAAGGUAGCGUAAUCACUUGUCUUUUAAAUAAAGACUGGUAUGAACGGCACCACGAAGGUUCAACUGUCUCCUGCAUCCAAUCCAUUAAACUGACCUCCCCGUGCAGAGGCGGGGAUAUGACCAUAAGACGAGAAGACCCUAUGGAGCUUUAAACUAAAGGCAACUGCCAAACCAUUCAACCCACAAUGAUAAACAAUAAAACAAGCAGAAAUUGACCUAAAGUUUUCGGUUGGGGCGACCAUGGAGAAUAAAAAAUCCUCCUUGAAGAAUAGGGAUUAAAACCCUUAACCAAGAACCACUAUUCUAAGUAACAAAAUUUAUGACUGCAAUUGAUCCAGUCCUACUGAUCAACGAACCAAGUUACCCUAGGGAUAACAGCGCAAUCCAUUUCAAAAGUUCCUAUCGACAAAUGGGUUUACGACCUCGAUGUUGGAUCAGGGCAUCCCAG